CCCCUAGAUGUUCUGGGCCGCACGCGCGCUACACUGAACAGUUCAACAAGUCUUAACCUUGGCCGAUAGGUCUGGGUAAUCUUUGAACGCUGUUCGUGAUUGGGAUAGACCUUUGCAAUUAUGGGUCUUCAACGAGGAAUUCCUAGUAAACGCAAGUCAUCAGCUUGCAUUGAUUACGUCCCUGCCCUUUGUACACACCGCCCGUCGCACCUACCGAUUGAAUGGUCCGGUGAAGCCUCCGGAUUGGCGUGCACCCUCGGGUGCUGCCGAGAAGUUGGCUAAACCUUACCAUUUAGAGGAAGGUGAAGUCGUAACA
rnacentral:rRNA from 1 species